CGCUCCUGUGAUCUGGUGGUGGUUAGAGCGUCCGCCUCGGAUGCGGGAGGUCAUGGGUUCGAUCCCCGGUCGA